rnacentral:rRNA from 1 species
UACGUAGGAUGCAAGCGUUUGUCCGGAAUUAUUGGGCGUAAAGAGCGUGUAGGCGGCUAGGUAGGUCCGUUGUGAAAACUCGAGGCUCAACCUCGAGACGCCGAUGGAAACCAUCUGGCUAGAGUCCGGAAGAGGAGAGUGGAAUUCCUGGUGUAGCGGUGAAAUGCGCAGAUAUCAGGAAGAACACCAAUGGCGAAAGCAGCUCUCUGGGACGGUACUGGACGCU